rnacentral:sRNA from 1 species
CGGGGAGAAGGUGGGCUUUUCCCCGCAAAGAAGGUGGGAGCUAUGGAGGGCUGCGGGCAGAGGAGGGGUAAUGUUCAUUUAACUCCUGGAGUUUGGCAAAAUGCUAUCAUCAAAACAGACUUUAUCACAGAACCUCUAGCUAUCCCCGUCCCCUCCGUAAGCUCCUCUGAGCAUAGCAACAGAACGGUAAGGUAAGGCAGCGAUUGGAAACGCCCGCGUUACAGAUGAGCGGAGAGCUGCUGGAGGUUGGAGGCUCCGACAGAGGAGGUGACUGGUCCAGAGCCACAUGGCCAGGUUGUGCUGGGGCUGGAACUCCAUCGAACGCAGGUUUCAGGGUGCAGCCCUUGUUUCCAUAAGAUACCCCAAAAUCAGACAAGCCUGGGACUUGCCACCUCUUCUUUAAAAACCCCAGUGCUGUUUUUGUUUUUGUUUUUUUUGAGAUAGGGUCUCCCUCUGUUGCCCAGGCUGGAGUGCAGUGGCUCAAUCAUAGCUCACCCACUGCAGCCUCGACCUCCUGGGCUCAAGCAGUCCUCCUGCCUCAGCCUCUUGAGUGGCUGAUACUACAGGUGUGCACCACCACAGCCAGACGCAGAGCAAAGCGGCAGUCCCCGGACAGGGAUGGGCUCUG